CUUGAGAUCUCUCUUUCUUGUUCUUUCAGAGACUUUUCUUCUUCAUCUAUUUUUAAUUUAUGUUUCUUGUGAUCUUACAUGAGAUCUUGGUUAAUCUUGAAGAACCUUGUACAAUAUAUCUUGCUACAGUAAUUUGGUAGAUUGUAAGGCAUAUAUCUAUUUUGAUUAGGCAAUAGGGUCCUUGGUUUAUUGGUGAUUAAUGUUUGAUUGAGAUCUUUUGGAUUGAUGAUCGGAUCCUGUAUCUGAGUGUGGUCUCUGUCUCUUGGAAGGUUAUUUUGCACAUAAUGAACGGGCCAGCCUCUAAGCCCCUAGAUUAUGCAUUUUUCGCCAAACUGGUGGCUGAAAGCCAUAACUGGUGAUCUUAGCAUCUUGAGCUCAAAUGGGUUUCUUGAAGGUGGUCUAAGUAUUUGAAUUUUAAUAAGUCAACCGUGCAGUGGGAGAGACUAUUCUAAUUUUGACUUUACUCAUAAUAACUAAAAAGCAUGCAUUUGUUGUUCUUAAAGAUUGGGUGAUACGUCAUGGGAAAAUUUUUUAAGAACAAUUUCAUUCUUGUAUAUGAUAUCUGUAUGAGAUGGAAUUGAGGCAUGUUUUAAGUUGGUAAUCUCAAUAUAUUGUAUUAUGCGAUCUUGAGAUUAAUUACUUGUUGA